GCCAGGAUACCAAAGCCUUACAGGACUUCCUCCUCAGUGUGCAGAUGUGCCCAGGUAAUCGAGACACUUACUUUCACCUGCUUCAGACUCUGAAGAGGCUAGAUCGGAGGGAUGAGGCCACUGCACUCUGGUGGAGGCUGGAGGCCCAAACUAAGGGGUCACAUGAAGAUGCUCUGUGGUCUCUCCCCCUGUACCUAGAAAGCUAUUUGAGCUGGAUCCGUCCCUCUGAUCGUGACGCCUUCCUUGAAGAAUUUCGGACAUCUCUGCCAAAGUCUUGUGACCUGUAGCUGCCACGUUUUGAAGAGCUUGAGCUGGGUCCCCAGUGGGCUGUCUCUCUGUGGGGAGGGCUUUCUGCUUCACCAUCAUUAGGAAUGUGACCAUUCCUAUAUAAUUCCUGGACUGGUGAGAUUGGUGGUAGGCCUGUGAAAUUUGCCCUAGUUACUACCAUUCUCGUUUUGGAGGAAACAAUCUCUGCCACCACCAAGUCAUUGACUUUGCUCGAGGCACCUUUUUUCCUGUUUCUCCUUUUCUGUUGUCGAGUAAAAUUUCAU
rnacentral:lncRNA from 1 species